ACGCUCGACACCUACGGGAGGCAGCAGUUGGGAAUAUUGGACAAUGGAGGAAACUCUGAUCCAGUGACGCCGCGUGAAGGAAGAAGGUCUUCGGAUUGUAAACUUAUUUUGUCAGGGAAGAAAAAAUGACUGUACCUGAAGAAAAGCACCGGCUAACUACGUGCCGACAGCCGCGGUAAUCUGAGCGGGCGUGGCAAGGACG
rnacentral:rRNA from 1 species